AAAGAAAUUUGAAACUAUGUUUUUUUGCAUGGUGAAAAGUUGAGCAAUAUUAAGAUGUUAGAUGAAUAACGUUAAUUAAAAUUAAGCUUUCACACCUUCUGAUAUGAAUGUUUCUUUGAUUGUCAGCUGCUAGUGUAGCUUCUCAAUGGUUGGAACUCCUUCAUCAAGACACUAAAGGGCAUCUUGCUGCAUUUCGACGCAGUAAGAAGAGAGAUUAAUCUGUGAUUCAUACAGAAUUGCCUUUGCUAAUGUCACAGGAAUUCUCAUGUAAUCAAAAGAAUGAUCCAUAUGUUAUGAAAAAUUCUGCUGCUGGAUGUGCUCUAACAAUGCGAGUGUGCAUGUUGACGUGCAUCAAGCUAGAUGGAGUGCCCUAUUUGAACAGAUGGAUAAACGCCUUUCUGAAGAAAAAAAACAACUGGUAGUCUCUAGGAGAAUGGUCUGUUUGGAUAUAUUCUAAAGGUGAAAGCCCGUAGUCUAAGCUUUAGUCAUGUAGGACGGGUGCAUGUGCAUCAUCAUGAAACUUAAAAUAUAUUUGAAUUUGAAUUUGAACUCCUCCAACAAAUGACUUAGGUCAAAUCAGAUCAUUAUUCACUUGAUUCACCAAAUUUUUUAGUAGAUUACAUGGACGAGGUGAAGUAAUUCUAAGUCCUCUAGCAUGACAAUCACUGAUGUACCAGAGGUAGGCGAUGGAGAAUCAUUACAUGAACCAGAAGAAAACGAUGUGUUCCAACAAGAAAAUAUUACCGAUGUUGUUCCAAUUGACAUCGGCCCUAAUGUCCAAUGUUAUAGAGAUGGUGUUGAAGCAGAAGUUGUUACAAGGGUUAGGUCAUCUGAUGAAACAAUGAUACAGAAAAGAGCUGACAAACAAAAUGAAGAGUGUGACGAACCUGAUGUGGAUUACGAUAUGGAUCUUGAUGUAGACUAGGAUUUGUAGUUAUUUUGCACUUUCUAUAUGAACAUUGUUCUUAAUAAAUGUAGUUGAAUUUCAGUUGUGGGGUUCAUCCACUGUUAUGUAGGUUUAUCAUUGAUUGGUCAUAUUGUGUGUCUGAUGGCUUUGUAAUUAAUUUGUUCUAUGAUAAGUAAAUGGUAAAAACAAAAAUCAUCCA